UACGGAGGGGGGCUAGCGUUGUUCGGAAUUACUGGGCGUAAAGCGCACGUAGGCGGCUUUGUAAGUUAGAGGUGAAAGCCCAGGGCUUAACCCUGGAAUUGCCUUUAAGACUGCAUCGCUAGAAUCGUGGAGAGGUGAGUGGAAUUCCGAGUGUAGAGAUGAAAUUCGUAGAUAUUCGGAAGAACACCAGUGGCGAAGGCGACUCACUGGACACGUAUUGACGCUGAGGUGCGAAAGCGUGGGGAGCAAACAGGG
rnacentral:rRNA from 1 species